rnacentral:rRNA from 1 species
AGGCUGCAACUCGCCUGCAUGAAGUUGGAAUUGCUAGUAAUCGCGAAUCAGAAUGUCGCGGUGAAUACGUUCCCGGGCCUUGUACACACCGCCCGUCACACCAUGAGAGUCGAUAACACCCGAAGCCUGUGAGCUAACCGUAAGGAGGCAGCAGUCGAAGGUGGGGUUGAUGAUUGGGGUGAAGUCGUAACAAGGUACC